rnacentral:lncRNA from 1 species
GCCUGAGAAAUGCUGAUCCAGUGCUCCCGGUAGCUGUAGCCACUUCCUGGCAGUAUAAAAUUGGCCCUGACUUCACAAAAAGGACUUCACCAAAGUGGAGGGAGUGACCACAGCAAUGCAGGAUCCCAGCCGCAUCUGCAACCUACACCACAGCUCACAGCAACGCCAGAUCCUUAACCCACUGAGCAAGGCCAGGGAUCAAACCCGCAACCUCAUAUUUCCUAGUCAGAUUCGUUAACUGCUGCACCACGACAGGAACUCCCCAAAAAGAAAUUUAAUGAGAAGAGUAUCAAUGUUUUAUAUUUUUGCCAAUCUUUUAAUUCUUGAAUUUUCUUAAGAAAAUUAGCUAGAUACUUACAUCUUCUGCUUUAUCGUGUGAUGGUUUUGGCUGAAGUAAUGGAGAAAAUCCAGCCUCCCAUAGUUAUAGUUAGAAAGGAAAGAAUUAUUAGACUUUACAGAUUAACAUUCUCCUUUGAAACUGUUCCCAGGUUCAACAGGAAAUAAUUUCUUAGGGUUAUUGCAAUGUAGAAUCUGAAACCACAUCAGAGUACUUUUUUGUACUCUGUUACAUGAAAAUACUUGGGUCUGUCCUGUACUUUGAGUCUUUUAUCCAUUCAGGGUUUUGUGAAAUUAUGCAUUGUUCAUUUAGAAAAUAUUUAUGGCCAAGUUUUUCAGACCUUUCACAUAUUGACAAGUUUGAUUUCACAAUAUUUUUAAAAAUGACAUUCAUCAGGCCCACCACCCAUCUCCUCAAAAAUGGUCUGUCUCAGAGUUCCCCUGUGGUGCAGUGGGUUAAGGAUCCAGCAUUGUCACCACAGGGGCUUGGGUCGCUGCUGUGGCUUGGGUUCCAUCCCUGGCUCAGGAAUUUCUGCAUGCCAUGGGAGUU